GUCCAGACUCCUACGGGAGGCAGCAGCGGGGAAUAUUGCACAAUGGGGGAAACCCUGCUGCAGCGACGCCGCGUGAGCGAAGAAGUAUUUCGGUAUGUAAAGCUCUAUCAGCAGGGAAGAAAUUGACGGUACCUGAGUAAGAAGCUCCGGCUAAAUACGUGCCAGCAGCCGCGGUAAUACGUAUGGAGCAAGCGUUAUCCGGAUUUACUGGGUGUAAAGGGAGCGCAGGCGGCGCGCCAAGUCUGAUGUGAAACCCCGGGGCUCAACCCCGGGCAUGCAUUGGAAACUGGCGGGCUGGAGUGCCGGAGAGGUAAGCGGAAUUCCUAGUGUAGCGGUGAAAUGCGUAGAUAUUAGGAGGAACACCAGUGGCGAAGGCGGCUUACUGGACGGCAACUGACGCUGAGGCUCGAAAGCGUGGGGAGCAAACAGGAUUAGAUACCCGCGUAUC
rnacentral:rRNA from 1 species